AUCAACGGAAAGCUUUUGGCUAGGGUUUGACUGAUGAGCAGCUGAGGGUUUUCAGUGAUCUUCACAGAUUCGCUGAUCUGGUCGGAGUCAAACCUUAUAAUGCUAUUCUGGUUAGAUAAAAAUCGGUUGAGAAUGUCUGCAGACCGUCUCAUGUCAGCUUUGAUGCAAAACAUAUCUUUGGCCAAUAGCAUUCAGUAAUGUUCUGCAUAACACAUUUGCUAGCGUUAUAUAUUGUUUGGGACACAGUGUGGGUACUCCUCUUUCAACUAUUUCUAGGUGAAUGCUGUCCAUUACAUCUCCUUCACAUGAGAUGGGUGAUUUGCAGAUGUCUCA
rnacentral:miRNA from 1 species